CCGUGCUAGGCGGGGCGCUAGCGGUGCCCUGUACCCGAAAACCGCUCACGCGGGGCUGAAUUCCCCCUCGAGGUGGCGGAUCGCCGGGACUGUCCCGGCCAAGCGGUGUUGAAGAUUGGGUCCUGCGCGGCAGAAGCCCGUGAACCCCGUCAGGUCCGGAAGGAAGCAGCGGUAAGCGGUCUCUUCUGGGUGCCGCAGGAGUGCCUGAUCGGAGCUGGCUAGUCGGGAUAAGCCGGUAAGGUUCCCAUCGACAGGGGGUGCACGG
rnacentral:SRP_RNA from 1 species